GACGAACGCUGGCGGCGUGCCUAACACAUGCAAGUCGAACGGGGAUUCAGCAAUGGAUUCUAGUGGCGAACGGGUGAGUAACACGUAGACAACCUGCCUUUGAGAUGGGGACAACAAUCCGAAAGGAUUGCUAAUACCGAAUGAAAUUCUCUUGCCGCAUGGCGAGAGAAGAAAAGAUGGCCUCUAUUUAUAAGCUAUCGCUCGAAGAUGGGUCUGCGUCUGAUUAGCUAGUUGGUGGGGUAAAGGCCUACCAAGGCGACGAUCAGUAGCCGGUGUGAGAGGAUGAACGGCCACAUUGGGACUGAGACACGGCCCAAACUCCUACGGGAGGCAGCAGUGGGGAAUCUUCCACAAUGGACGAAAGUCUGAUGGAGCAACGCCGCGUGAGUGAAGAAGGUUUUCGGAUCGUAAAACUCUGUCUUUUGGGACGAAUGUGCAGCUUGUGAAUAAUGAGGUGCAAUGACGGUACCAGAGGAGGAAGCCACGGCUAACUACGUGCCAGCCGCCGCGGUAA
rnacentral:rRNA from 1 species